ensembl:lncRNA
AAAUCCACAAACCGAAAGCAGGGGGUUGAGGGAGAAGCCGAGGACGGCUUCAUGACAAUCAUUAGUGAGGGAAAACAAAAUGAAGCUUGUGUGGAGCAUUACUCUGAAGAGCCAUAAUUAAACAAGAAGGUCCAACGCCAGCAGCGCGUCUUCAGAGGAGCCCCCGGCCGUGCACGUCUGUCUGCGGUGGGAGAGAUAACGCCGGCGAGUGGGUGGGCAAUGUCUCCUGGAGCCAGUGGGAGCCUGAACCAGCACCCGUUGUUUUGUUUUUCUAGACCGGGCAGUGACCUCCAGCGUUGCCCGGCCGGCAGCUCGCAGGGAGGGGUUCAAUAGUCUUGUGUGUUCGGGAAGCGUUCGGCCCGGUUUUCCGAUGAGCGGCACUGGGAGUGUGACGUGUUGCAGUGGAAGCGGAGGACGUGCCUCUGACUCCAAAUGAAUUGCUGUAGCAUUCACAACACACAAGCGCGCAAGCCGCACAACGCCGACAGAUGAAACCGAUGAAAGGGUGAGCAGUGGGCAUAAGAAAAGUUCCCGUGUAUAAUAACAUUAUAUUCUUCAAUGGAAACUGAGCAGAGGUUGUGUUUGUUUUUAUUCAAAUUUCCACUUGCUUUAGGGGCAAAACAAGUUCUCCUUUUAUUUCCAAUGUCAAGAGUCCAUGAAAUAGGUAGAGGAGGGGUGGGCGCCUCCGAAGUCAGUGCAAACUGUCAAAGUGUUUUUUCUGAAGGCCCCACGAGGAAAGCUGAGGACUUACAGUGUGAAUACGCCGCGCGCUGUUUACUUCUGAGAGCGGAAUAAUAACAAAGAUGCCUCACAAGCUGCUUCCCACAACUAAUGAUCAAGUACAACUGUAUAGUUUGCCAUCCCCAUCCGUUACAUUUUUUUUUUUUGUCCUUUUCAAUCUUUCUAAGCGCUAAUGUGUAACUGAUCCUAAUUAGCAUCACCGAUAGCGCACGUCAUUCCCUCUUGACCCCCGGUUGUCUUGAAAAGGUCACAUUUAGAGUUUCGAGUGACCGAGAGAAAAACCCUCCACCAGGUUGAAGACCUCUGUCGUGUUAAAUGUAUGUUUUUGUGACACGUGUUGACAAAAUGCUGAGUGUUGCGUGAGGCUUUGGAAAGGAUCUGACCUGCUCUGUCAUUACAGGGCUGAAUACGGUGGCGAAGAGAAGUGGUCCUUGAUGUCCCCCAGGUGUGUCACUGUGUGUGUGCAUCGACGUCUGGGCUGUGGGACAAAAUAAGACCCCCGGAACCAUCUCGGGAUGGUUUGUCCUUCUGUCCUUCCUACUCUCUUGAAGGGGAUUUUAAAUCCAAUCAAAUUAUACAUAUUUUUCUGGAUGGAUCCUUGAACAAUUUCCCAAUGUCAAAUUUUUGCUUCAAAAAUGUUGCUCGGCCCUUCAGAACUCAUAGCUCGUGUUUAAGCGUUUUUUUGUUUCAAUGAUUACGGAUAAAUAACAUUUUGUUUGUUAAUUGAAGAAAGACAGAUUAUAAACCUAUUAUGAUUGGAUCUGACCGAAUAAAAUUCCAUUUUAAAAGAAACACUAGGAACCUUUCACUGUCCAAUGAUAUCAUAUGCCGGCCAUGUCAGUGUAACAUGACUUCCUAUCGUAAAUGUUUUUAGGUUUUUCAUUUAAUUCCUGCUAGGGUACUAGGGGUUUUAUAAAUCAAUCUCAGUUGACUUAACUUGAUUGAAGAUAAUUGUGUUGCCUGUUAUAUAUAUAUUGAUGUGUGUUUGUUUUCCUGGUUUAAACUGGCAGUUAAGUAAUUAAAUAGUAAAACUAUAAUAAAGAUCAAAAAGAAUGAAGAGAA